AAGACUUUAGUUAAUAUAUAAUAAUAGUUUGUCAGAUUAUAGUAAUUAAAAAAUAAUAAGUCUUA
rnacentral:tRNA from 1 species